GUCAACGACCAUAUCAUGUAAAAAACACCAGUUCUCGUCCGAUCACUGAAGUUAAGCUGCAUUGAGCGCGGUUAGUACUUGGAUGGGUGACCGCUUGGGAACACCGCGUGUCGUUGGCAUCA
rnacentral:rRNA from 1 species